ensembl:lncRNA
UCCACUGGGCAGCAGAUGUCAGCACCUCUGUAGGAGGUAGCUGAGGCCAGACUUCUCCAUCCAGCCUCAGCAGAGAAGCAAAGGCGGAGAGCAGGUAGAACAUCCAGAGGUAGAACAUCAAGGCAGGAGGAGGUGAUGCUGUUCGGGGGCUGGGGAGAAAUACCUUAGACCAGAGCACCUGAGGUUGUCUUCUGGCCUCGCAGCCUGGAACCUGGUCUGGUGCCAACAGCAUCACAGCUGUGAAGCCCCAAGUGCAGGCCCAGACAGAGGAGACCCAGAGGCAGCCGAUGUGGGGGACAGUUGACUGGGGAUCGUAAUCUAGUUUUCUGUUUUUCCUUCGAAAAAGAAACAUAAAGGCCCCAACUCAUCUGCUGUUAAAAAAUCAUAGGGUGGGUGCAUUGACUCAUGCCUGUAAUCCCAGUGCUUUGGGAGGCUGAGGCAGGCAGAUUGGUUGAGUCCAGGAGUUGAAGACCAGACUGGGCAACAUAGGGAGGAAAACUCCCUCCCUACGAAAGAAUACAAAAAUUAGCUGGGCAUGGUAGUGCAUGCCUGUAGUUUUAGCUACUUGGGGGCCUGAGGUGAGAGGAUCCUUUGAGCCCUGGAAGUGGAGGCUUCAGUGAGCUGAGAUCGCACCAUUGCUUUUGCAGCCCAGGUGAUAGAGUGAGACCCUGUCUCAAAACAAACAGACAAAAAAAACCAAAAAGUCAUAUAAAAUGUCUUCAUAAAUACAACAGAGGCAAACCUCACAUGAUUUGUGUGCAUGGCCUUGGAGGGGCAAAGGCCCAAUAGGAGUGAGAAGAGGAGGGAAGGGAGGGCGCAGGCUGUGGGGCAAAGGUCAAAAGUAGAGGCCAGGAGGGCCGGCCUGGCAGCCUGAGUCCACUGCAGGUGACACUUCUGGCUUUGGUAUCCUUGUUUCGUGUCCUGUGAACUGUGCUUUUGGCAUGUCCCUAGGUAUCUCCUGUGGGCUCCUCGCUGUGAAGGUGUUGGGGGAGGAGUGACACAGACUGGACGUGCUGAUCCUUCAAGGGGCCUCUGUUUGGGAUCGGCUGCAUCAUAUUUUGGGUCAGGGAUUAAAAUGCAGAGGCAGAAGGCUGGGUCAGGCACCUUCCACAGGACAGUAGCUCUUCCCAAAGCAAUCCUGGAACAAGAUUUGGGAAAUGGAGUGAGGGAAGCCCUGGUUCAGGUGCCCAAGGCGAGACCCAGAGGGCUUCUGCUUGAUGGAUCUUCAGCUCCAGGGAACCAACUUCAUUCCUAGCUCCAGCCCAUCCCUCCUCAGUGUGUGGCUUUGGAAAAUCAGCCCCUCUAAAUGUCAGUUUUCAACUGUAAAAUGUGGGUCACAGCCCUGCUCUGCCCAUCCCACAGGGCUCAUAUGAAGGUCAGAGGAGAUGAGGGCAGAUUCCCUUGAGGAGCUAUAAGGCAUCCUGCCCAUAUAAAGGCUGGAAAGAGAUCUUCCACCUUCCAUGUCUUGUAGUCAACCAAGUUUCCUCUCUGGAGGCAACUACUGCUACGUGUCUGUCUUUUUCCUGCAGAGGCUUCACAUCUGAACACUUGUAUAGCACUUAUGAAGUGCCAGUCAUUUUUCUUCAGGCUUAAUAUGGAUCUGCUUAGGGUAAGCUUCAGAACAUGAUGCUAACAGGCAGGCCCCAUAAACACCUCCAUAUCACACAGCAGGGGACUGAGCACAGAGGGGUUAAGUCACUCUCUCCCUUUCCCAGGGUCCCCCAGCUUCUAGGUAGGAUCUGAGCCCAGGCCAUCAAGCAUCUGUCCCUUGCUUUCAGUCACUGAGCUCAGCUGUCCUCCUGAAUUGUCUCCUCUCAUUGGAGUAACGUCCUGACACAAUCGGCCUGUUGUGUAUUUUAAGUGCCCACCACACUGCAGACCCCUCCCUCCUAAGCCCAACUUUGACUCAGUUGCUCCCCUAGGCAGCUGGUGAAUCAAAGUGUGGCCUGGG